rnacentral:piRNA from 1 species
UGGCAAGAGUUUCGGGACCACGUGAGGU